ensembl:lncRNA
UGUGAGAGUUGGACUAUAAAGAAAGCUGAGCGCCCAAGAAUUGAUGCUUUUGAACCGUGGUGUUGGAGAAGACUCUUGAGAGUUCCUUGGACUGCAAGGAGAUCCAACCAGUCCAUGCUAAAGGAGAUCAGUCCUUCAGUGUUCAUUGGAAGGACUGAUGUUGAAGCUGAAACUCCAAUACUUUGGCCACCUGAUGUGAAGAGCUGACUCAUUUGAAAAGACCCUGAUGCUGGGAAAGACUGAUGGCAGGAGGAGAAGGGGAUGACAGAGGAUGAGAUGGUUGGAUGGCAUCACUGACUCAAUGGACAUGGGCUUGGGUGGACUCCGGGAGUUGGUGAUGGACAGGGAGGCCUGGCAUGCUGCGGUUCAUGGGGUCGCAAAGAGUCGGACAUGACUGAGCAACCAAACUGAACUGAAUGACAUUCUUCCUUAACACAAACAUUUCCCAGUAGUUAUAUAUAGUUCUGAUCACAUUUUAUCCAUAAAUAAGUGUUUAAAAGUCCAAGGGUCAACACAUCAAGAUCGGAAUGUCCAGUGGUUCAAAACGGCAGGAUCAAAACAGCCUGCACACAGCUCACAGCAUUCUGACUCAAUUGCAACUGUUCCAAGUUGAGAAAUACCAAAUAUUUUAUGUCUCCCAAGUCUCUUUAUAACUUACCAUUUCACCUCAACAGGUUGGUACAUAUACGGCAUGCUUCUGAAACGCUGGCUCAGCUACAAGAUGCUGUGAUUCGGUUGUGCCAACUUAUCAUGGAAACUCUAAAUUAGAGACACUGUAGUAUUGGAGAAGGAAACGGCAACCCACUCCAGUGUUGUUCUUGCCUGGAGAAUCCCAGGGACAGGGGAGCCUGGUGGGCUGCCAUCUCUGGGGUCGCACAGAGUCAGACACGACUGAAGCGACUUAGCAGCAGCAGCAGCAGCAGUGAGGAGGCUUAUAAAAUCUCUUGCCAUCACUCGGGUUUGAGAAGCUGCAGUUAAGCCAGGAUGGCCUGGGGAAGUCAGAGCAUAAGACCUGGACCCAGCUGUAUUUGCUGCUCCUGGAACUGGUAUAUGAGAUUGUGG